UACGUAGGGUGCGAGCGUUAAUCGGAAUUACUGGGCGUAAAGCGUGCGCAGGCGGUUUUUAAGCCAGAUGUGAAAUCCCCGGGCUUAACCUGGGAAUGGCAUUUGGGACUGCAAAGCUUGAGUGUGGCAGAGGGGACUGGAAUUCCUGGUGUAGCAGUGAAAUGCGUAGAGAUCAGGAGGAAUACCGAUGGCGAAGGCAGGUCCCUGGGCUGACACUGACGCUCAUGCACGAAAGCGUGGGGAGCAAACAGG
rnacentral:rRNA from 1 species